rnacentral:rRNA from 1 species
UACGGGGGGGGCAAGCGUUGUUCGGAAUUACUGGGCGUAAAGGGCUCGUAGGCGGCCAACUAAGUCAGACGUGAAAUCCCUGGGCUCAACCCAGGAACUGCGUCCAAGACUGGGAGGCUUGAAUCCGGGAGAGGGAUGCGGAAUUCCAGGUGUAGCGGUGAAAUGCGUAGAUAUCUGGAGGAACACCGGUGGCGAAGGCGGCAUCCUGGACCGACACUGACGCUGAGGAGCGAAAGCUAGGGGAGCAAACGGG